rnacentral:rRNA from 1 species
UACAGAGAUCUCAAGCGUUGUUCGGAUUCAUUGGGCGUAAAGGGUGCGUAGGUGGCGUGGUAAGUCGGGUGUGAAAUUUCGGAGCUUAACUCCGAAACUGCAUUCGAUACUGCCGUGCUUGAGGACUGGAGAGGAGACUGGAAUUUACGGUGUAGCAGUGAAAUGCGUAGAGAUCGUAAGGAAGACCAGUGGCGAAGGCGGGUCUCUGGACAGUUCCUGACACUGAGGCACGAAGGCCAGGGGAGCAAACGGG